rnacentral:rRNA from 1 species
UACGUAGGGUCCGAGCGUUGUCCGGAAUUACUGGGCGUAAAGAGCUCGUAGGUGGUUUGUCGCGUUGUUCGUGAAAACUCACAGCUUAACUGUGGGCGUGCGGGCGAUACGGGCAGACUAGAGUACUGCAGGGGAGACUGGAAUUCCUGGUGUAGCGGUGGAAUGCGCAGAUAUCAGGAGGAACACCGGUGGCGAAGGCGGUGCUCUGGGCCGAAACUGACGCUGAGGAGCGAAAGCGUGGGUAGCAAACAGG